GUGGGAGAGCAGCAGUCAGAAUUUGCAGGCUGGGCUUUCCCGUUCCCAGGAGUAGUUCUGCUGGAAGACUUUGUAAGUGCAGAGGAGGAACAUAGGAUGGUUGAGCUGAUGGAUCAGGACGCUUGGAAACCUUCGCAAUCUGGCCGAAGAAAGCAGGACUAUGGCCCCAAAGUGAACUUCAAGAAGCGCAAGCUAAAAGCUGGUGGUUUCUCUGGUUUGCCUAGCUUCAGCCAAGAGAUAGUGGCACGCAUGAGACUCUACUCUGUGCUCAGGGACUUCUCCCCUGUUGAGCAGUGCAAUUUGGACUAUGGCCCCGAGAGAGGAUCUGCCAUUGACCCACACUGGGAUGACUGGUGGCUUUGGGGAGAACACUUGGUCAGCUUAAACUUGCUCUCAGCAACUGUGCUUUCCAUGUCUUGCGACUCAGAGGACAGUCUCCAGUUAUUCCCUGCCUGCCUUCAACAAAGCAAGCAGAUGCACUGCUCUGAAUCCCUUGAUCAUUCUCCAGAUCAUCAACCCCAUAAAGGACUGAAAAGAAACACCACCAAGCAGGAAAUGGAUGGUUCUUUUCCCACAAGAACAGUUCCAUCCCAAAAGGUCACUGUAGCAGUUCACUUACCUCAGAGAUCUCUGGUGGUUCUGUACGGACCUGCUCGGUAUAAGUGGAAGCAUGCCAUUUAUCGCAACCAUAUUAAAAGCCGCCGCAUCUGUGUCACCUUCAGAGAAUUAUCUACAGAGUUCAGUCCUGGAGGAGAACAGGAAGAACUGGGCAAAAAACUCCUGGAAACAGCUCUGACAUUCCAGGGAACACCGGUAUAAGGAUUACUUAUUUCACCAGGAGACAAUUAUCUGAUGCUCUAGAUCCCCAGAGAGCAGGAAGCAGCUGUACUUACCUAGUCACUACAGCAGCAAGAUUGCAAGGAGUCCACCUCAAAGAAAUGAAGAAAUCAUCUGUCCUAUUGCAUGGGUGCAUCUCCAUACCUGCCACAGGCUGUAACCUGCUGCGAGAUAAUUGAACCGCCUCAUUUCAUCAGCUUCUGAGGGAGGAAAGGAACUGAUUGCAAUUUCUGCUGAAUGAGGUAAAAUGGCCACUUAAGAUCAACUGUUUUCAUUAUCUCCAGUGCAACGCCAUCUUAGUCACCUCAAACAUCAGCCCUGCCCAUCCCAACGUUUCAUUGC